rnacentral:rRNA from 1 species
UACGUAGGUCCCGAGCGUUGUCCGGAUUUAUUGGGCGUAAAGCGAGCGCAGGUGGUUUAAUAAGUCUGAUGUAAAAGGCAGUGGCUCAACCAUUGUGUGCAUUGGAAACUGUUAGACUUGAGUGCAGUAGAGGAGAGUGGAAUUCCACGUGUAGCGGUGAAAUGCGUAGAUAUAUGGAGGAACACCGGUGGCGAAAGCGGCUCUCUGGACUGUAACUGACACUGAGGCUCGAAAGCGUGGGUAGCAAACAGG